rnacentral:rRNA from 1 species
GCAAGUCGCACGGUAACAUUGGUGCUUGCACCAGAUGACGAGUGGCGCACGGGUGCGUAACGCGUAUGCAACCUACCUUUUACUAGAGUAUAGCCCAGAGAAAUUUGGAUUAAUCCUCUAUAAUAUCUUAGAAUCUCAUGGUUCAUAGAUUAAAGUUUUAACGGUAAAAGAUGGGCAUGCGUCCUAUUAGUUUGUAGGUGAGGUAAUGGCUCACCUAGACUACGAUAGGUAGGGGCCCUGAGAGGGGGAUCCCCCACACUGGUACUGAGACACGGACCAGACUCCUACGGGAGGCAGCAGUAAGGAAUAUUGGACAAUGGACGAAAGUCUGAUCCAGCCAUGCCGCGUGCAGGAUGACAGCCCUACGGGUUGUAAACUGCUUUUACACAGGAAGAAACACUCCGACGUGUCGGAGCUUGACGGUACUGUAAGAAUAAGGAUCGGCUAACUCCGUGCCAGCAGCCGCGGUAAUACGGAGGAUCCAAGCGUUAUCCGGAAUCAUUGGGUUUAAAGGGUCCGCAGGCGGUCUUUUAAGUCAGAGGUGAAAGCCUACAGCUCAACUGUAGAACGGCCUUUGAUACUGAAAGACUUGAGUUAUUGUGAAGUGGUUAGAAUGUGUGGUGUAGCGGUGAAAUGCAUAGAUAUCACACAGAAUACCGAUUGCGAAGGCAGAUCACCAACAAUAUACUGACGCUCAGGGACGAAAGCGUGGGGAGCGAACAGGAUUAGAUACCCUGGUAGUCCACGCCGUAAACGAUGGAUACUAGCUGUU